GAUAAAUUAAUAAAUAAUACAAAAUCCAACCUUGUGGAAAAUAAAUUGUGGGCUACACAAUUUAAAUAGAGUACAAAGGAUCGUGAACCAAAUCAAUUUAAUUAAAUCUUUUUCUCCUUGACUUGGUCACAAAGACUUCCCUUAGUUUCAAAUUUUAAACAAAUAUUCUGCAGAAAUCUUCCCCUCCUUCUCUUACGCGAUUUUCCUCUCCUCCUCUUUGAUCUGCAAAUAAAAUCCCAAAGAAAUAAAAUUAGUCAAUCCCAAUUAAUUUUGUGAAAUCAAUUACCCAUUAUCCACCCCCUUUCCCACGUUCAUAACCGUUCCCCACUCUGUAAAUAUCUUCCAAAUCUAGACCUCAACAAACUCCCGAUUAUACUCCCACACUAUGCAGUAUAUUGAUCGCCAUACCCUAAUCUCUCCUCACACAAAUUCUGCAGUCACAACUCUCUCAAGGCGGCAGAGAACGCAGUGAAAAGAGCCCAUUCUUCUCCUCUCUCAACCCUGAUUCCACUAAGGGUCGAGACAGAGAGUUGACAGUUUGUUAUUCAAGAACCACUUUUUUCAGAUCCUUGCUGAUCUUGAUUUCUCAUCCACAGAGGUAAUUAAAAAAAAAUCUAUCACCCUCUUUCUCAAGAUGAAUUCACAUCGACACAGGAAACUUAUUUUGACAGAAACCAAGAAUCCAAAUUCAGGGAGGAGAAACCAGCAGCCUUGACCUUUUGCCUGAGCCGAUUUGUUCAGUGAAGGUUGAGCGACGACGAACAAUUGGUGUUGUUGAGCAAUUAAAAUUGAAGUAUUGUUUGGUUAUCUUUGAACUACAAGUGUCGUUGUGUCUCCACACAUGGCGUCACUCUUUCUCUUGAACGCUUCCGCUGAGACAUUGUUUUUUUUUUCAUCAUUUAUUUAGCUUUGAACCUAAUUAUUUGGAUAUUUGAAAACUUGAUAUCUUUUGGAUAAUGUCUAACCCUUGGUCGUUUUUUUUAUUAAAUAUUGGUCAAACUCUUUAUUGAAACCAUAGUUUUUCUACGCCUAUUUAUUUAGUUCUUUUAAUCACGAUCGCCCGUAUUUAUUAACCCUAAAGGACGGUCGUGAUGGUUUGGUAUCAGAGCCUCAGUUCUUUCCGCUCUGGACCCAAGAGUCUUUUUGAGUCCAAAUCUAUCCUUGUAUUAAUUGGCUAAAGUGUUAAACAUCAAAGGCUCAACACCACAACUCGUCACGCCCAACCACGAAGAAAGAGAUGGCCAGGCCGUAUUAUGCUCCGAUGCGUAAUCGUUAUGCCAGAAAUAAGAACUUCCCAGUUGAGAGCUACAAAGAAAACGAGUGGGAUGGAAAGAUCUACCUUAUGGUUUACGUCGCCGAGUUUUACGAUAGAUGGAUGGACGCCUACGCGUAUGGGGGAGCCAUCCAUCACGCGGGAGUCGCAAGGCUCAUCCACACCCUACCGCCCCCUUGGAGCCAGUGGGUCGCCCAAGCGGCAGAUUCAUUCACAUGGUAUAGCCCGCCAGAGUACGAACCGCGAGGGGACUUGCUCGGCCUUUUAGGGGUACUACUUCCGGCCUUAGUGGCUGCAUCCGAUGGACCACCACGUUACCCACCUCUGCAGAUUUUUCCGCCUGACCAAGCUCUCUUAAAGAAAUAUCAUUAUGACAAGGAGCCACACGUCUCACGCUCUCCCAAAAGAGCAAGGCUUGGGAUGCGCACUUCGGCUCCUCCAAGAAUAGACAGGGAGGUCGAGAAGAUACUCAUGACGAUCCCCACCCGUGCGUGCCGAAGAAGAAGAUGAGGAGGAGGAGGAACCCCUCGAGGAAGAAUGGAACCCAAAUAGGGAGAGUGUUGGCGAGACCGAAGAGGAGGAGGAGGAGAAAGAGAAGGGAGAAAUUUAGAGACGAUAGUCAUGGAAUAGAUUGUUUUGCGUUCCCCAUGUUUUGAUACCUUAUUGUUUCUACUUGACUAUUUACCAUUAUGUUUCCACAUUUUGGUUUUUUCUCCUUCCUUGGUUGUGAUUGAUACUAAGAUCUCUUGGAGGCAACGUUUUGAUAUGCUAUGGGGAAUUUCUA